GCCGGGCGUGGUGGCGCAUGCCUGUAAUCCCAGCUAUUCAGGAGGCUGAGGCAGGAGAAUCGCUUGAACUCGGGAGGCAGAGGUUGCAGUGAGCUGAGAUUGCACCACUGCACUCCAGCCUGGGCGACAGAGCGAGACUCUGUCUCAG
rnacentral:sRNA from 1 species